GAUGAAGAACGCAGCGAAAUGCGAUAAGUAAUGUGAAUUGCAGAAUUCAGUGAAUCAUCGAAUCUUUGAACGCACAUUGCGCCCGCCAGUAUUCUGGCGAGCAUGCCUGUUCGAGCGUCAUUUCAACCAUCAAGCCCCAGGCUUGUGUUGGAGCCCUGCGGCUGCCGCAGCCUCCCAAAACCAGUGGCGGGCUCGCUAUCACACCGAGUGCAGUAGUUUACUCUUCGCUCAGGGCGUGCAGCGGGUUCCGGCCGUGAAACCCCCUACUUUUAAAGGUUGACCUCGGAUCAGGUAGGAAUACCCGCUGAACUUAAGCAUAUCAAUAAGCGGAGGA
rnacentral:misc_RNA from 1 species